rnacentral:rRNA from 2 species
GUGGCGGACGGGUGAGUAAUGUCUGGGAAACUGCCUGAUGGAGGGGGAUAACUACUGGAAACGGUGGCUAAUACCGCAUAACGUCGCAAGACCAAAGAGGGGGACCUUCGGGCCUCUUGCCAUCAGAUGUGCCCAGAUGGGAUUAGCUUGUUGGUGAGGUAACGGCUCACCAAGGCGACGAUCCCUAGCUGGUCUGAGAGGAUGACCAGCCACACUGGAACUGAGACACGGUCCAGACUCCUACGGGAGGCAGCAGUGGGGAAUAUUGCACAAUGGGCGCAAGCCUGAUGCAGCCAUGCCGCGUGUAUGAAGAAGGCCUUCGGGUUGUAAAGUACUUUCAGCGGGGAGG